rnacentral:rRNA from 1 species
GACGUAGGGCGCGAGCGUUGUCCGGGUUUAUUGGGCGUAAAGAGCUCGUAGGCGGUUCGUCGCGUCGGCUGUGAAAUCCCGAGGCUCAACCUCGGGUCUGCAGUCGAUACGGGCGGACUGGAGUACUGCAGGGGAGACUGGAAUUCCUGGUGUAGCGGUGAAAUGCGCAGAUAUCAGGAGGAACACCGGUGGCGAAGGCGGGUCUCUGGGCAGUUACUGACGCUGAGGAGCGAAAGCGUGGGGAGCGAACAGG